GGGCAUGUGGCUCAAUGGUGGAGCGCUAUCUUCACACGAUAGAGGUUCGAGGUUCGAUUCCUCGCAUGCCCA
rnacentral:tRNA from 1 species